CCUACGGGAGGCAGCAGUGGGGAAUCUUGCGCAAUGGACGAAAGUCUGACGCAGCCACGCCGCGUGAGUGAAGAAGGCCUUCGGGUUGUAAAGCUCUGUCGGAGGGGACAAAAACGUUUAGGGUUAAUAGCCCUAGAUCUUGAUGGUACCCCUCAAAGGAAGCACCGGCUAACUUCGUGCCAGCAGCCGCGGUAAUACGAAGGGUGCAAGCGUUGCUCGGAAUUAUUGGGCGUAAAGGGUAGGUAGGUGGUUACGUAUGUCUGAGGUGAAAGCCCCGAGCUUAACUUGGGAAGUGCCUUGGAAACGGCGUAACUAGAGUAUUGGAGAGGUUUGUAGAAUUCCCGGUGUAGCGGUGAAAUGCGUAGAGAUCGGGAGGAAUAUCAGAGGCGAAAGCGACAAACUGGACAAUUACUGACACUAAACUACGAAAGCGUGGGGAGCAAACAGGAUUAGAUACCCUGGUAGUCCACGCUGUAAACGAUGGGUACUAGAGUUCGGGGAGUUGACCCCUCGGACUCGGACGCGUACGACGAGUAGUACCGACCGACGGAACGGUACGGUACGCGACGACGUAAACGUACGAAGAAGUAGACGGCGNGUAAGACGUGCGACGACGACGACGACGGGAGGAGG
rnacentral:rRNA from 1 species